CAUAUAGAAAAACAUGCAAUAUAUGUCAACUUCAUGCAACUUCAACUUUUUUUGCCUCAUCAGUGCCGAUAUCAUUAGUACCGCACAGGCACGCUAACCUUAUGUGCGAAUAUUCUCGCACAGGCGUUCUCAUUUUUCUUGCACAAUUUCUUCUUUACUCAUUGAAAACGUAGACCUGCGAGGCAGACCAAAACGAAACAACAAUGAACAAACGCGCCACGGGGGAUCGAAGAUUCGCUCGGGAUAGACUUUGACAACGCGGUCGCCAGUAUCCUGUGUGCCAGUCGGUGGGCCACACAGAUCAGAUAAAAGGAUACGUUUGAGGAACCGACUAACUCGAUCGACUAACUUCACUCGACAAAGAUCGAGAUGCAGCACUGUGCACGACUGUUGGGAAGUUGACCUAGCGUACGUGAGCAAUGAUGUAACUGAUAACAAGAUAUCGCGCUGCUGAAGCUCUGCAAAGAUAACUAUGAUUCAUACAAGACUAAAUGUUAACUUCGAAAUUUUUGCAACAAUAAAUGUGUGUACUGCUGUCAUCAUUUAAUAAAACAAUUUCU